UGAAAUAGAUCUGAAACCGUAUGUUUACAAGGAGUCAGCGCGGUGUCUCACUGCGUUCGGCACCGCUUAAAUGUAAAGUGCAAAUCUCAAAAUGAAAAAUUUUGGUGUCGCGAAGCGACUCUCUAAUUUUUAACUUUGAUUUUUUAAUUUUAAAUUUAGGUGGCGAACGAAGUGAGACACCGCUAUGGCGUGCCUAUUGAAGAAUGAGCCAACGAGUUAAUGCACGCGGCCCGGCUAAGUCCCGAUAAAGGAUGGAGCCAUAGGGAAACCGAGUGUGAAUAGCGCGCAUUCCGAUUUCGAUCGGAAAAGUCGUAUGCAUUAGACCCGAAGCCAGAGCGAGCUUGUCAUGAGCAGGGUGAACCCCGACGAAAGUCGGGGGGAGGCCCGAACCGGUGAGCCGUGCAAUACUCUCGGAUGACUUGUGAUAAGAAGUGAAAAGCUAAUCGAGCCUGGUAAUAGCUGGUUCUCUCCGAAAUAACUUUUGGGUUAGCGUCGAGUGUUUCCAUUGGUGGUAGAGCACUGGAAGGUUUGGACAGGGAGCAAUCUCACUAAACCUAUCAAACUCCGAAUACCGAUGAUUAAAAACUCGGCAGUUAGACUCCGGGGGCUAAGCUCCGGCGGUCAAAAAGGAAACAGCCUAGAUCUCUAUUUAAGGUCCCUAAAUUCAUGCUAAGUGCACUUAAGGAGGUGAAAUUUCUCCGACACUGAGGAGGUUGGCUUAGAAGCAGCCAUCCUUUAAAGAAAGCGUAACAGCUCACUCAGUCAGAGAUUUUGCACCGCAGAUUCAUGGGGCUAAGCAUGGUACCGAAACUGAGGAUUUCAUUCCGGUUCGCCGGAGUGGAGUGGUAGGAGAGUAUUCGCAUCUGCACUGAAGGCGAAGGGGUGACCCACGCUGGAGCGUUGCGAAGUAAGAAUGUUGGCACAAGUAACCACAAUGCGGGUGAGAAACCCGCACGCCGAAAGAACAAGGUUUCCCUCUCAACGUUUGUCGGAGAGGGGUUAGUCGGUCCUAAGGGAAUGGUGAGAACCGCACCCGAUGGACACACGGUUAAUAUUCCGUGACUGUUUUUGCAAGUGAUGGGAGGACGGAGAUGAAUAUGUAUCGCGCAUUAUCGGAUUUGACGUCUGUGCUUUUAGGAAGUGUACGAGGGAAAACCCGGACACUAGCUUCAAUGCUAAUUCCAAAAAGAGCGGAAAUGUCUCGACUUCGGUCGGGAUAAAUGAUACAAAGCCAUCUUCCAAGAAAAUUCUCUAAACUUAUUGCAGGAACAACCGUACCGCAAACCGACACAGGUGUUCAGCUCGAGUAGAGCAAGGCGAACGAGUGAGACGUCCCCAAGGAACUCGGCAAAAAAGCAGCCGUAACUUCGGAAUAAGGCUUGCCUCUCGUAAGAGAGGCCGCAGCUAAAGUAUCUCUGGCAACUGUUUAUCAAAAACACAGCUCCCUGCGAACUCGCAAGAGGAUGUAUAGGGGGUGACACCUGACCAAUGCUAGAAGGUCAAACACGGAGGGUCUUAUUAUCUUCGGAUAAAAAGGCUGGACUGUGUAAGCCCUAGUGAAUGUCGGCCGUAACUAUAGACAUGACCGUUGUAGUUACGAAAAUAAAUCUUGCCAUAUGCUGGAAAACCCGGCGCAACAAUGUUGCGAAAAAGGUAAUAUACAUUACGAGCACAUGUUGAUGUGUCGUGACAAUAUGUAUAUGCGGACAAUCAGCAGGAAAGUCUUCUGAAUCUAACAAAACAUAGUGAAAAACAUCCCAAUUGAUAUAGGCAACUAUAUCGCAGGAUUUGCAGACGGAGAAGGAAGCUUCAAUGUCUCAAUCAAGAAGAGGUUAGAUUACAAAGAAAGUUGGAAAUUAACCGCAUCGUUCAAUAUAUCUCAAAAAGAUAGAGUUAUCCUUGCAUGGGUAAAGCAUAUUUUGGGAUGUGGAACAUUGCGGGAAAGAAAAGAUGGCGUUGUGUAUUACGAAGUAACAAACAUUACUUCGCUCUACGAGGUCAUUAUUCCAUUCUUCAAAAAGUAUGGUUUCCGCUCGGCAUACAAAAAGAAUAAUUUCAGAAUUUUUUCUGAAAUAGUUCAAAUAAUGUAUGCAGACGGGCAUCGUAACCAAGAAGGAUUUCGAAAAGUUCUAGAAUUGAGAGAAAAACUUAAUCCUGGAAUCGGACGAAAACGAAAAUACACAUUAUUAGAUGUCGUAACUUCAGAAGAAUCCUCAGAGACUAUACGCAAGACGGUUUCAAAUCAAUAAUUGGAGUCGACGAUUUGGAAACGAUGAUAUAGUCCGAUCUCUUUGGUAACAAAGAGUUAACACGUAAGUAAAAAUUGGUAAAUAGUUGAAAAAGAAUCAUUACACAAAUUCACGCUACUAGAAAUGAACGGUCCUAAGGUAGCGAAAUUCCUUGUCUGGUAAGUUCAGACGUGCACGAAUGGUGUAAUGACUGGAGAACUGUCUCGGGGACCUGCUCGGUGAAAAUACAAUACCGGUGAAGAUGCCGGUUACCUGCAGUUAGACGAAAAGACCCCGGGAGCUUUACUGCAACUUGAUAUUGAGUUUACGGUCACGAUGCGUAGCAUAGAUGGGAGACUUUGAAGUCCCGAUUUCGGUCGGGAUGGAGUCGUCAGUGAAAUACCAUUCUUCUAGAUUGUAAAUUCUAACCUCGACGGCAAAAACGGCGAGAGACAGUAUCUGGCGGGCAGUUUUAGUGGGGCGCUAUCCUCCUAAAAAGUAACGGAGGAGUCUAAAGGUUGGCUAGGCGCGAAUGGAAACCGUGCCGAUAGUGUAAUGGCAUAAGCCAGCUUAACUGUGAGGCGUACAUGCCAAACAGAUGCGAAAGCAGAGCAUAGUGAACCGACCAUACGCGUUAGAUGCGGUGGAAGAUUAUCGGAUAAAAGCUACCCCGGGGAUAACAGGCUGGUUGCGCCUAAGCGUCCAUAGCGACGGCGCAGUUCGGCACCUCGAUGUCGGCUCAACUUAUCCCGGAGGUGGAGAAGCUUCCAAGGGUAUGGCUGUUCGCCAUUUAAAAAGUUACGCGAGCUGGGUAAGGAUUCAUGAGCCCAGCUUUAAGACGUUCUACGAGGUUAAAUAAGAGAAGCAAAAUAAACUGACUCAU
rnacentral:ncRNA from 1 species